AAAAUUUCCAUUUAUUGCUGCAAUCAAUUUGAGAUGCAAAUCCCCGCAGUAGUAUUAAGUAAAUAGAUCCUUGUUCGAGUUUCUGACUUAGUAUUUGCUGAUGUGACCGCCAGUGCCUUAAAUUUAAGACUGAUCAAGCACAAGAUGCAAAGAUGGAGAAGCUCAAUAAUAUAUUCUUUGCUUUGAUGGCUCGUGGUCCUGAAGGUACCAUUCUUUUUUCUACCCCAUCUCUCCACUCUUCUUUCUUUCCUACUUUUGUUGAGAUUUAGCGAAGACUUUUUCUAUGGACUUGAAAAUAGUGUUGUUGCCUUUGUUUCGCUGAUAUAUAGUUCCUUGUCUUGUGUAUUCUGUAAUGGAUAUAGCAGAAGUCACAGGGAAAGAACAAUUGGAGGCACAGCCGUCAAAGAAAGGAAGAGGAAGAAAGCAAUGAUUUGUAGCUAUAAUCUUCGGUUAGGUACUAAGGAAUGUAGUUGAUCAAGGUUUUCUGUUGUAGCUCUUCGCAUGUGUAAUUGAUUUUGGACUACAAUUGAGAUUUUUUUCCUUUGCUUUUCAGAUAUCUUUUAUGAUAUGAAAUUGUUAAUAUUAUUUGAAUCAAUGGCUGAGGGAUCGUAGUAAUUUCUGGCAUUCUGUAGCUACUUUUCUUGUCCUGGAAUACUGUACUUCAUUCAUGCUUAUCUACCAAGUUACUCUUCAUUUUGCUCUCUUUUCUGAGUUUUACGUCCAUGGCUUCCGUUUCUCUCUCCUAGUUGAGAUGCUACCUAAAAUCAGGUCAUGAAAAUGUAUAUCAGUCGAAGAUUCUUGCGAAUCUUAUUUGCUAAGUUUGAUUCGAGAACUAAAGUUGUUACAGAACUUUUAAAUCUCGUUCAACUCUUGAUUCGACGAGUGAUAGGUCAAUUGUGCAGUUAAACGCUAUUGUAAUUGAUCCUAGAACUCCUAACUGCUUGGAUUGGAGGAUUUGAUGAGUAUGCUCGGAUUUAUGAUAACUGCUCUGGCCUUUUCUGACCAAAGUGAGCUUGUUGUAUCCUACGAUGGAGAGCAUAUAUACCUUUUCACAAAAGAUAUGGGAUUGAGACCAAAUGUUGUUCCAUCAUCUUCUUUAUCAACUCACAGUGAUGCCGAUGAACCUGGACGUGAUGGCUCCAUAGUGGCAGCUAGAUUUGUUCCCCAAGUGUAAAUGGGUCACCGUAAUUAUGUUACAAUCAAGGGUGUAAGUUUCUUUGGGCCUAAGAGCAAAUAUGUAAUGAGCAGAUUUGAUUGUGGUCGAAUAUUUAUAUGGAGAAAGAAAGGUGGAGAGCUCAUCCAUUUAAUGGAAGCUGAUAGGGACGUGGUCAAUUGCAUCGAGUCUCAUCCUCAUACAGCAGUUCUCGCCAGUAGUGUAACUGACAAUGAUAUCAAGAUAUGGACUCCAAAGGCAGAAGAGAGAGCUACUUUACCUACAAACAUUGCUAAGUUUGGGGGGAUUUGGCUGAACUCUUUGGGGUAAAAUAAGCAUUAGAACUGCUUUCUUGCUUAAUUAAUGCUUGGGAUUUGAGCAAAUUGACAUUCGCCGCUUUUGACACGUUCUCCGCCUUCCUUUUAUAUUCUUCCACGCAUCAGCACAAGCGAAGCUCAACUGCUCUUGCUCCUGCUCCUUCUCACACGCAUGGAUCAACCAAGAAAAGAUCGACCGCUAUUGCUCCUCAUUCUUCUCUGCUCCUUCACCUGCUCCAUUCCAGCAGAAGCAAAGUUCUUCCUUCUCUUCUGAAAAACAAGAUCUCGAUUGUACAGAUUAUUGAAUAACAGUAUCUCAGUUGUACUGAUUUCUAGGAAAAAUGGACACAUUUUGUGUUCAUUUUGAUUUGAUUAGGGUGUAUCUGGCACAAGUUGGGUGUGUGUGCUAUCGGUAGGGUUAGGUAACAUUAAAUUUCAAAUCCAGGGAGACAAUUGGAAGUUCUUGCAUAAUAAAGGUAAUGUUUGUGUAAUUUUCUGCUCAUUUUUCUAUGUAAUUUUUAUGUUCUAAUGGUAUGGAAGGUUUUAUUUUUUGUCAAUAUGAAAUUACAAAGACUACUACUCUUCAAUUUAGUACUUUGCAUCAACAUAAUUUGGUCAAUUGAAAAAUCAUGGGGACAAGAACCAAAGGCUCAUGUUGCCUUUGUAGUCUAUAAUAUGUCUUAUAAGUUACAAUGAUUCUCCCUUAUUGGACGGAAUAUGUUAUAGAAGUAAAUGGGUGUGAAGCCCAUAACUUUUGAAACUCAAAAAUGAUUUAAUAGGGCAAGUUGUGAUUACAAAACCUUUUUCUUAUUCUCUAUAUUUUGUGGUUCAACUUUACUAUUUACUGAGUUUUUGUAGUAUGAAUUUGUAUUGGUGUUUGGUUUAAAAUUCGAUUUAUAGAUUCCAGUGCACUGCAGAAGCAUAAGACUUUAUAUAUUUUAUUUCUUUAUACGAACACAAGCUUAAGUCAGGUUGAAGUGAAAUAUGAAUAAGAAAGAACGAGAGUUAGGUAAAAAGUGUCCAC